rnacentral:rRNA from 1 species
UACGUAGGGUGCAAGCGUUGUCCGGAAUUAUUGGGCGUAAAGAGCUCGUAGGCGGUCUGUCGCGUCGGCUGUGAAAACCCGAGGCUCAACCUCGGGCCUGCAGUCGAUACGGGCAAACUAGAGUACUGCAGGGGAGACUGGAAUUCCUGGUGUAGCGGUGAAAUGCGUAGAUAUCGAGAGGAACACCUGCGGCGAAGGCGGGUUGCUGGGCGUGA